rnacentral:rRNA from 1 species
UACGUAGGGUGCGAGCGUUGUCCGGAAUUAUUGGGCGUAAAGAGCUCGUAGGCGGUGUGUCACGUCGUUCGUGAAAACCUGCAGCUUAACUGUGGGCGUGCGGUCGAUACGGGCAUCACUGGAGUUCGGCAGGGGAGACUGGAAUUCCUGGUGUAGCGGUGGAAUGCGCAGAUAUCAGGAGGAACACCGGUGGCGAAGGCGGGUCUCUGGGCAGUAACUGACGCUGAGGAGCGAAAGCGUGGGGAGCGAACAGG